rnacentral:rRNA from 1 species
GACGAACGCUGGCGGCGUGCUUAACACAUGCAAGUCGAACGGAAAGGCCCUGCUUUUGUGGGGUGCUCGAGUGGCGAACGGGUGAGUAACACGUGAGUAACCUGCCCUUGACUUUGGGAUAACUUCAGGAAACUGGGGCUAAUACCGGAUAGGAGCUCCUGCUGCAUGGUGGGGGUGGGAAAGUUUCGGCGGUUGGGGAUGGACUGGCGGCUUAUCAGCUUGUUGGUGGGGUGGUGGCUUACCAAGGAUUUGACGGGUAGCCGGCAUGAGAGGGUGACCGGCCACAUUGGGACUGAGGUACGGCCCAGACUCCAACGGGAGGCAGCAGUGGGGAAGAUUGCACAAUGGGCGGAAGCCUGAUGCAGCAACGCCGCGUGCGGGAUGACGGCCUUCGGGUUGUAAACCGCUUUCGCCUGUGACGAAGCGUGAGUGACGGUAAUGGGUAAAGAAGCACCGGCUAACUACGUG